rnacentral:rRNA from 1 species
GAUGAACGCUGGCGGCGUGCCUAACACAUGCAAGUCGAGCGAUUCUCUUCGGAGAAGAGCGGCGGACGGGUGAGUAACGCGUGGGUAACCUGCCCUGUACACACGGAUAACAUACCGAAAGGUAUGCUAAUACGAGAUAAUAUGCUUUUAUCGCAUGGUAGAAGUAUCAAAGCUUUUGCGGUACAGGAUGGACCCGCGUCUGAUUAGCUAGUUGGUAAGGCAACGGCUUACCAAGGCGAAGAUCAGUAGCCGACAUGAGAGGGUGAUCGGCCACAUUGGAACUGAGACACGGUCCAAACUCCUACGGGAGGCAGCAGUGGGGAAUAUUGCACAAUGGGCGAAAGCCUGAUGCAGCAACGCCGCGUGAGCGAUGAAGGCCUUCGGGUCGUAAAGCUCUGUCCUCAAGGAAGAUAAUGACGGUACUUGAGGAGGAAGCCCCGGCUAACUACGUGCCAGCAGCCGCAGUAA